GUGAAAUUUUCAACAGAUGGACGAGAACUUGUUGCUGGAAGUAGCGAUGAUUCUAUAUAUGUCUAUGAUCUUGAAACUAAUAAGCUUUCCCUUCGAAUUUUGGCUCACAGAUCUGAUGUGAAUACUGUGUGCUUUGCUGAUGAAAGUGGCCAUCUGGUUUAUUCUGGAAGUGAUGAUACUUUCUGUAAGGUGUGGGACAGACGCUGCUUUAUAUCUAAAGGGAAGGCUGCAGGGAUUCUAGAAGGACAUGUAGAAGGUAUCACAUUCAUUGAUAGUCGUGGGGAUGGUCGAUAUUUAAUUUCCAAUGGUAAAGACCAGACCAUCAAACUUUGGGAUAUCAGAAAGAUGUCCAACAAUGCUACUCACUACAAUAGGCCUAGAAAUUCUGAUUGGGACUACAGAUGGAUGGAUUAUCCACUCCAUGCAAAGAAUUUGAUGCAUCCACGUGAUCGAUCCGUUGCUACAUACAAGGGUCAUUCAGUCCUGCGAACGCUUAUUCGUUGUUAUUUCUCCCCGGAAUAUAGCACCGGU
rnacentral:misc_RNA from 1 species